CUUGGAGGUUCUUCGGUACACUACCUGGAAUUCUUCUUACUACAUGAAGAACAGAUGUUCACCCGUUGGUACAGAUUACAGUUUCAUCACCCACUACGAACGUUUACCUGUUGUAUUUACUCAGAUGUUAUGUAUUAAUCUUUAUUUUACUAUCACGAUGUCGCUUCUGAAAGAGGGGGAGGAGCCUAAUUGUUGGGAACUCCUACUCCCUAUUGUAUUUUUUCAUUGG